rnacentral:lncRNA from 1 species
GUUAUUUGGCUUGGCAGUCAGAGGAGGACAAGUUGCAGGAGAGAGAAUCAAAGAUUCAGGCUGCCUAGUGUGGCCACCGCCCCAUCAGCCCUAAGAUGAUCGCAGCCCCUUUCUGGCCACUGAAUAUGUGGGCACCCCAGACCUCUGUGGCAAGGCUGGGUGAGAGCUGUCUUUUGUGCACAGGUGCCCCUAGUCCCCCACCACUAGUGAGCAUUCACACACAGAGGUGAACAGCCCCCUUGUGGGCCUGGAGGCUCCUAGGCCAGGUAGAGAUGACCAGAGUAGGGAGCAGAGAAUCCCCAGUGCCUAGCACAGUGACUGGCACUGAAGCAUUUGUUGGAUGAAUGAAUGAGUGAUUGCCUGACCUCAGGCCCAGGGAGGAAGGCCUGGUGUGCAGGGCAGCUCCUGGGAGGCUUCAGGGAUGGGGAGAGGACAGAGAGGGACUGGGAGAGCCACAGGAAGGCAGCCUCAUCUGAUGACUGACUUGGGAGGGAAACAGAAUGUGGGCUGUGUUUCUGGGGAAACACCCCCCUGAUGCCCGGGCACCCAGGAACUUCCAGGUACCCCCGGAUCACCCCAGUGAGGACACUCCACAAUUCCCCAGGAGGCAUCACAGUGGGGCCGUUAAACCCAGGGACUUGGGAUUCAGACACUUCUGGGCUCCAGUCCACCCCUCACUGGCUGGACCAGUUGCCUCAGUUUCCCUAUGUGCACGGGGGACGGAUAGGACCACGUGCUGCACAGGUUUGCUGGGAAGGCCAUAUGAGAGGUGCCGGCUCAGCACAUCCUGUCUGCCAUUGUUACAAACAACAGCACGGGAGAGUCGGGGAGCAGAGUCGGCCAAACGCAAGACCCUGGGCUCUGGCUUCCCUGUGCUACUGACCUAUGGGGUGGCUUUGGACAAGGCCCAGCCUUUCUCCAGGCCUUAGUUUCCCCAUUUGUACAGUCAGGCCCUGCUAACUUGGACAGACUUUGGCCCUUCUCCAAGCCCCACAGAGACAUCAGAGACAUGUGCACACACGGCCCUGGGAUUGCCGACAGACACACAGGCACACAUAGGCACGUACACACAGGCAUACAGACACAGGCACAGACUCACACUCGGCCCCUCCCCACUCACACUCGCUCACACUCAUGCUCACACUCACACCAACCCCCCUCCCCCAAAUCUGCUGCGCACCAACGGUUGGUGCGAGCGGGGUUGAGAACGGGAGGAAAAAAGCCCACGACUCAGCCCGGGAAGAGGGGUGCGGUGGGGGAAGGGCGGGCGAGGGAAAUGACAGCCCGCGGUCCCCCUCGAGUCCCGGCUCAUGAAUAUUAAUACGGCGGUAAUUAAAAUGCAGGGACGCAGCAGGAUGGAUGCGGCUGCCUCCGGAGCGCGGGGGAGCGCGGAGUCUUUGCAGGCGGGUGAAGCCCGCUCCUCGCCGGCGAAAAGCGGGGCCGGGCUCCGGGGCCUGGGUCCGGGGCGGGCGGGAGUGGGGACAUUUUUCGUGGUCCCGAGCGUCCCGUCCCGGCGUCCCCGCCCCCGCCCCGCGGCCGCCUCUCCACGCCCUGCCCCGGGCCGCCCGCCAGGCCGCCGUUUCCCGGAGCCGGCCCCCUCCCGCCCUCGCGGCCGGCUGAUGUCAUCUGCACACAACUUUCCGCUUCCCGGCCCGUCUCGGGGCCCUGAGUCAUCGCCGCCCCCGGCCCCGACGCUGGCCUGCGGCGUCUGUUUGUGCAGAGCGAGGCCCCGCCGGCCGGGCUUGACGUCAGGCUGGCAGGGCCUGGAACGGCCCCGCAUCGCGGCCCCCUGGGGGCAGGACGACACCGCUGGGGGCCGAGGGCAGGGCACGCCUUCGGAAUCCGGCUUCGAAGCCGGCCGCCUGACCUGGGGCAAGUGCUUUCAACUCUCUGAACUUCGGUUCCUCAUCUGCCAGUUGGCAGACGCUCAGCAAAUCUUCCUAGACUCACGGGGCGAAUUGUACAGUUGGGUAAAUCGAGGCCCAGAGAUGGCAAAAGGACCGUCCAAGGUCGUACAGCCACCCGGAAUUACAAUUCUUUUCUGCCGGGUCACACGCUGUCAUCCACGUGUUACCUAAGAGAGCUUUCCAGCCUGUGCUAAGAAAACUGCCCCACAUCAUCUGCAGUAGGACGGGGGAGUUGGAGCCCUGGUCAGGCCACUCUGCUACUGACCACAGUUUUCUCAUCUCUAAAAAGGCGCAGUAACAAUAUAAUUACCGUAUGCAGUCCCCCAGGAUACAGGGUCAAAGGAGAGCACAACCAUCGCAGUUGGAAGCCCAUGGGGCAGCAGGGCCCAGGACACAGUGAGCAUACAAUAGACAUUAGCUGCUGUGGUGUCUUGAUUUCAAGCCCAGUGCAGAUGCAUCUGACUUACGAAACUUCAGUGACACCUGCUCUGUGCCAGACACUGAAGAUGGAGCAGUGAACAGCACUGACCCAGCCUGUCCUCCUGUUGCCUGCAGGCCAGACGGAGUCUCACUCUGUCACCAGGCUGGAGUACAGUGGUGUGAUCUCGGCUCACUGCAACCUCCGCCUCCCAGGUUCAAGCGAUUCUCCUGCCUCAGCCUCUCAAGUAGCUGAGAUUACAGACGUGUGUCACCAUGCCCUGUUAAUUUUUGUUUGUUUGUUUUGUUUUUUGUUUUGUUUUGUUUCGUUUUUUGUUUUUUUUUUUUGAGACGGAGUCUUGCUCUGUCGCCCAGGCUGGAGUGCAGUGGCCCCGAUCUCGGCUCACCGCAAGCUCCGCCUCGCGGGUUCAUGCCAUUCUCCGGCCUCAGCCUCCCGAGUAGCUGGGACUACAGGCAUCCGCCACCACACCCAGCUAAUUUUUUGUAUUUUUUUUAGUAGAGACGGGGUUUCACUGUGUUAGCCAGGAUGGUCUCGAUCCCCUGACCUUGUGAUCCACCCAAGGCCUCGGCCUCCCAAAGUGCUGGGAUUACAGGCAUGAGCCACCGUGCCCGGUCAAUUUUUAUAUUUUUUGUAGAGACAGGGUUUCACCAUGUUGGCCAGGCUGGUGUCGAACUCCCGACCUCAGGUGAUUGUCGGCCUUGGCCUCCCAAAGUGCUGGGAUUACAGGCGUGAGCCACCGCGCCCAGCCGGUGGGCAGCCAGUUGUGUUCCGGGAGGAGGAGGACACCCUGGAAAGACAGUGGGGCCAGACACUGAACUGCCUUUGGAAGCAAGUAGGAGCAACAGCGAAGGUUUGCUGGCUCAGAAGCAAGGUCUCGCUGUGUUACCCUGGCUGGAGUGCAGUGGCUACUUACAGGCAUGAUCAUAGCAUACUGCAGCCUCGAACUCCUGGACUAGAGCAGUUCUCCUGCCUCAGCCUCCAGAGCAGCUGGGACUGCAGACACGCACCACAGAGCCCAGCCUGAGUCAUUUUGAUUCUGUAACUGGCUUCCUCUCGGCGGGCAGGCUCACACCCUCCACCCCCAGCUGGAGAUGGAAGGAGGAUGCUCACCGCCCAUUCCUCAUGCAGGCCAUCGAUGGAAAUGUCAGACAGUGCGAGUCCACGCCUGAACACUUCUGGGGUCCGCUCUGGGACUGACACUGGCAGAUCCAUCGGUGAGCUCCCGCCUGCCACCUCUGGGCCUGCAUUGCGGUGAUAGGGCCAAGGGCCUGGGCCUUCAAUUCUCCAGACUUGCCAAAAUGCUCAGCGCAGGCCUCGUCGGCAACUGCAGACAAGCAGAGGCAGCACCUGGGCUCUGCCUGUGCCUGGCACAGUGAAGCGAGGGUGGGGGCAGGAAUGAGGGUCCUCUCCAUGCAAGGGGGGAAGAUAGAAGAACAAAAUUUCACCCUAAUGUAGUGUCUUUAGACCGUGCAAUGUUGUGCUCCUGUUAGUCUGAUAUCAGGGGCUUGCAGCCUGGCAAAGGAAAAAAAACAGGCUGAGGCACAUGAUAGAAGACAGGCAGGGAUGCCACAAUCAUAACCAUGGCAAAGACCAGGAUCAGAAAGGCCCACCAUCUCUGACCCCAAAUCCCUGGGCAGAUGGUUCCAGAACUCAGAAUUUUCCCAGUUGUAGAAAGAUGGGGCCAGGUGCAGUGGCUCACGCCUGUAAUCCCAGCAUUUUGGGAGUACAAGGUGGGCGGAUCACCUGAGGUCAGGAGUUCGAGACCAGCCUGGCCAACAUGGUGAAACCCUGUCUCUACUAAAAAAAAAAAAAAAAAUUAGCCGGGCGUGGCGAUGCAUGCCUGUAAUCCCAGCUACUCGGGAGGCUGAGCCAGGAGAAUUGCUUGAACCCGGGAGGCGGAGGUUGCAGUGAGCCAAGAUCGCGCCACUACACUCCAGUCCGGGCGACAGAGCAAGAGUCCAUUCCCCCACCACCAAAAAAAAAAAAAAAAGAAAGAAAGAUGAUGUGAUACAUAUCACAUAUUUCCUAACACCCCCAACCAAACACAUUUAUGCAUAUGCAUAAAGCAGACGAGGAAAGAUUCUAAAUAGGCUCUGAAUCUCAGUUUUCUCAUCUCUACAAUGGGGCAGUGAUGGCAUGCACCUCCCAGGGCUGUUCUGAGAAUCUGAUGCCUCCCAUUGCACUGGUGAGCCUGGCACAGGCACAGGUCCCACCCCAGGCCCUUUGAACUGGCUGUUCCUUUGGCCUGGAACAUUCCUCCCCAGAUACCUCCUGAGAGGGCUCCCUCACUUCCUUCAAGGCACUGCUCAAAUGCUACCUCUUCACAGAGGCUUUCCCUGACCACCCCGUCUCUUUCCUCUUCCUGCAUAGCCUCUGUCACCUGACAUUUUAUGUCAUAAAUUACUCAUUUAUUAAUUUCCUGCUCUCCCACAGUGGCACCCGAGCUCUGUGAGGGCAAGACUUUGUUCGGUUGUGGGCUAUGCCCCCAACCCCUCGGACAGUGCCUGCACAGGUGGACAUUUUUGUUGGAUGAAGGAUUUUCUGUUAAAUGUGUCUGGCACACACAGAAAAACAAAGCCCAGCAGAUGCCGUUCCAUUGUUUGCUGACUUUCAUUGAUUCUAUGAGAAGUCUGCAGUCUUUUGCAGCGUUGUUUUCCUAUGUAUAAUUGUCUCCUCCCACCCCACUCACCCCAGCUGCUUUCCACAUUCUCUCUCUUUGAUUUUCAGCAGUCUGCCCAUGAUGUGCCUAAAUAGGACUUUCUUUGCAUUCAUCUUGGCUGGGGCUCACUGAACUUUCUGAAUCUGUAGAUUAAUUUUCUUUUUUCAAUAAACCUUGGAAUAUUUUCAGCAUAAUUUUUUUCCUGUCUUCUUCUCUCUCUUUUCUCCUCUGAAAU